GAUGAACGCUGGCGGCGUGCUUAAUACAUGCAAGUCGAACGGAAAGGCCCUGCUCUUGCGGGGUGCUCGAGUGGCGAACGGGUGAGUAACACGCGAGUAUCCUGCACUUGUCUUUGGGAUAACUUCAGGAAACUCGGGCUAAUAUCGCAUAGGAGCUCCUGCUGCAUGUGGGUGGUUGGAAAGAUUCGGCGGUGGGGGAUGGACUCGCGGCUUAUCAGCUUGUUGGUGAGGUAGUGGCUUACCAAGGCUUUGACGGGUAGCCGGCCUGGGAGGUUGACCGGCGACAAUGCGACUGAGAUACGGCGCAGACGCGUACGGGAGGCAGCAGUGGGAAAUAUUGCGCAGUAAGCGGAAGCCUGAUGCAGAAACGCCGCGUGCGGGAUGACGGCCUUCGGGUUGUGAACCGCUUUCGCCUGUGACGAAGCGUGAGUGACGGUAAUGGGUAAAGAAGCAACGGCUAACUACGUG
rnacentral:rRNA from 1 species